rnacentral:tRNA from 1 species
GGAUAUAGCUCAGCUGGUAGAGAACUUGCCUUGCAUGCACAAGGCCCUGGAUUCGAUCCCCAGCACCA